rnacentral:lncRNA from 1 species
CUAUACCACAACCUGAAAAUAAUAUAGAUAAUGAAGACUGUGAUAUCCUGAGAAAGCCUCUGAGUUGGGGAGAAAGAAAGAAUAGGAAGCAAAACUUAAAAUUAUAAAUGUGUUAAGACCACAAUUAUUUGUGGAAUAGAAGAUGGUGGAUCAUGGCCAGAUAUGAAGAGGAAAUGGAUCUCAUUUUUGAAUUUUAGGUUGAGAAACAUGAACUGUUUGGACAAGACACCAU